rnacentral:rRNA from 1 species
GAUGAACGCUGGCGGCGUGCCUAAUACAUGCAAGUCGAGCGAACAGAUGAGGAGCUUGCUCCUCUGACGUUAGCGGCGGACGGGUGAGUAACACGUGGAUAACCUACCUAUAAGACUGGGAUAACUUCGGGAAACCGGAGCUAAUACCGGAUAAUAUAUUGAACCGCAUGGUUCAAUAGUGAAAGACGGUUUUGCUGUCACUUAUAGAUGGAUCCGCGCCGCAUUAGCUAGUUGGUAAGGUAACGGCUUACCAAGGCAACGAUGCGUAGCCGAGCUGAGAGAGGGAUAGGCCACACUAGAACUGAGCCACGGUCCAGACUCCUACGGGAGGCAGCAGUAGGGAAUCUUCGGCAACGGGCGAAAGCCUGACAGAGCAAAGCCGCGCGAGUGAUAAAGGUGUUCGGAUCGUAAAACUCUGUUACUAGGGAAGAACAAAUGUGUAAGUAACUAUGCACGUCUUGACGGUAACUAAUCAGAAAGCCACGGCUAACUACGUG